rnacentral:rRNA from 1 species
CUUGGCCAUACCACCCUGAAUGUGCCCAAUCUUGUUUGAUCUCAGAAGCUUAGAUGGCUUGGGCCUGGUUAGUACUUGGAUGGGAGAAAUGUUUGCUCCUGUUGCAGAACACUUGCAGAACAAGU